rfam:Schistosoma margrebowiei strain Zambia genome assembly, scaffold: SMRZ_contig0000051
AUCUAGUCGAUGUGUCUCAAAUAGGAUGAAAUGCACAUCCUGGAU